rnacentral:rRNA from 1 species
GAUGAACGCUGGCGGCGUGCCUAAUACAUGCAAGUCGAGCGAACAGAUGAGGAGCUUGCUCCUCUGACGUUAGCGGCGGACGGGUGAGUAACACGUGGAUAACCUACCUAUAAGACUGGGAUAACUUCGGGAAACCGGAGCUAAUACCGGAUAAUAUAUUGAACCGCAUGGUUCAAUAGUGAAAGACGGUUUUGCUGUCACUUAUAGAUGGAUCCGCGCCGCAUUAGCUAGUUGGUAAGGUAACGGCUUACCAAGGCAACGAUGCGUAGCCGACCUGAGAGGCUGAUCGGCCACACUGGAACUGAAACACGGUCCAGACUCCUACGGGAGGCAGCAGUAGGGAAUCUUCCGCAAUGGGCGAAAGCCUGACGGAGCAACGCCGCGUGAGUGAUGAAGGUCUUCGGAUCGUAAAACUCUGUUAUUAGGGAAGAACAAAUGUGUAAGUAACUAUGCACGUCUUGACGGUACCUAAUCAGAAAGCCACGGCUAACUACGUG